rnacentral:rRNA from 1 species
CGGUCUUCGGACUGGCGGCGAGUGGCGAACGGUGAGUAAUACAUCGGAACAUGCCCAGUCGUGGGGGAUAACACUUCGAAAGAAGUGCUAAUACCGCAUACGUCCUGAGGAGAAGCGGGGGAUCGCAAGACCUCGCGCGAUUGGAGUGGCCGAUGUCAGAUUAGCUAGUUGGUGGGGUAAAGGCCUACCAAGGCAACGAUCUGUAGCUGGUCUGAGAGGAUGAUCAGCCACACUGGGACUGAGACACGGCCCAGACUCC